GACGAACGCUGGCGGCGUGCUUAACACAUGCAGGUCGAACGGAAAGGCCCUGCUUUUGUGGGGUGCUCGAGUGGCGAACGGGUGAGUAACACGUGAGUAACCUGCCCUUGACUUUGGGAUAACUUCAGGAAACUGGGUCUAAUACCGGAUAGGAGCUCCUGCUGCAUGGUGGGGGUUGGAAAGUUUCGGCGGUUGGGGAUGUACUCGCGGCUUAUCAGCUUGUUGGUGGGGUAGUGGCUUACCAAGGCUUUGACGGGUAGCCGGCCUGAGAGGGUGACCGGCCACAUUGGGACUGAGAUACGGCCCAGACUCCUACGGGAGGCAGCAGUGGGGAAUAUUGCACAAUGGGCGGAAGCCUGAUGCAGCAACGCCGCGUGCGGGAUGACGGCCUUCGGGUUGUAAACCGCUUUCGCCUGUGACGAAGCGUGAGUGGCGGUAAUGGGUAAAGAAGCACCGGCUAACUACGUG
rnacentral:rRNA from 1 species